rnacentral:rRNA from 1 species
UACGGGGGGGGUAAGCGUUGUUCGGAAUUACUGGGCGUAAAGGGCUCGUAGGCGGCCAACUAAGUCAUACGUGAAAUCCCUCAGCUUAACUGGGGAACUACGUGUGAUACUGGAUGGCUUGGAUUUGGGAGAGGGAUGCGGAAUUCCAGGUGUAGCGGUGAAAUGCGUAGAUAUCUGGAGGAACACCGGUGGCGAAGGCGGCAUCCUGGACCGGUAUUGACGCUGAGGCGCGAAAGCCAGGGGAGCAAACGGG